CCAUGUUCAAGAUGACUGAACGGAGAUGUGAACGCAGAACCUGGGACCGUAGAUCAUUCUUUGCACUAUUUCUUGUGUCCUGAGGAAACGAUUCCCACAAUUUACGUUUCUGUCUUCCAAAGCAAGGUUUUUAAAGACAAAUGUGUAAGGCUUCUGAGGUGUUUCUGGCAGUGCUUGUUGGUGUUACAUCACGUGACUUCACUACACAUUGCUUUGGGCACAUGAUCAUGCUGUGCCACACUUGAAGAAUGCUGUCUGAAAUACCAUGGCUCAACGGCAUGAAAGGCCCCAAAUUACAUGUUAUUAGUUAGAGAGUUUUUCCUGUUCACAUGGCAAGUCCUUUUCUAUAAUGGCUUAUUCACACAGACUCUUACCAUGUCCCUACUGACCUUCCUCAGCAGUCUUUUCUUCAGGCAUGCAUCGUCCCUUGGAAAAUUACAAUCCUUUCGAAAGCAAUUCCAUGUUAGCUGAAAAUCGUUUCCCCACACUCUAUAAAGCAGAGGAUGAGAUGAGUUAGGAGGUGUGGCCCUGCUGGAGGAAGUUCAUCACUGGGGCUGAACUUUGAGAUCUCAAGAGCCUGCACAAGACCCAGUCUUGUUUUUUCUGCCUUCUGCUUGAGGAUCAGGAUGCGAGCUCUCAACUACUGCUCCAGUACCCGCCUGCCUGCUGCCAUGUUCCCCACCAUGGGGUCAUGGACUUAGACUCUGAAACUG
rnacentral:lncRNA from 1 species